rnacentral:rRNA from 1 species
CCUACGGGAGGCAGCAGUGAGGAAUUUUCGUCAAUGGGCGCAAGCCUGAACGAGCAAUGCCGCGUGAACGAGGAAGGUCUUCGGAUCGUAAAGUUCUGUUGAAGGGGAAAAAGAGCGGAGAGAGGAAAUGGUCUCCGAUUGAUAUUACCCUUCGAGGAAGUCACGGCUAACUACGUGCCAGCAGCCGCGGUAAUACGUAGGUGGCGAGCGUUAUCCGGAAUGAUUGGGCGUAAAGGGUGCGUAGGCGGCCUGCUAAGUCUGGAGUGAAAGGUACCGGCUCAACCGGUACAGGCUCUGGAAACUGGCGGGCUAGAGAGCAGGAGAGGGCGGUGGAACUCCAUGUGUAGCGGUAAAAUGCGUAGAUAUAUGGAAGAACACCAGUGGCGAAGGCGGCCGCCUGGCCUGUUACUGACGCUGAGGCACGAAAGCGUGGGGAGCAAAUAGGAUUAGAUACCCCGGUAGUC